UGCUGGUGAGACGAUGUGUUCACAGGAAACCUGAAGUAAAUCAAGAAGAAGUUGCAGAAGAUGCCAUCAAGUACAGUAACAUCAAAUUAGCAAAUUGUCAACAACAGCCAGGCAAAAGAAUCAGAGAGAGUGAUCCACCUGUAAUCUACUCGGCAGUGAGAACUGAAGACAUCAGUUAUGGACAAAUAACUAUCAGACCAAAGAGGACCAGAGACUUUAAACCAGAGCCAGACGUCGUCUACUCUUCACUGAAGUAGUCCACCAGUCCAACC